AUGUUGAUUCAUUUCCGUUUCGGCAAGAAUUUGGCACUAUGCAUUCUUUUUUGUCCUAUUUUUAGGCAAAGUCAUGCCACAUUUUUUCUUGGUUCUAAAAUACCGUUUUGCUAUACCCCGCAGCCGACCAUCGUCCGCACGAUGACCGAAGGCAUCAUGAAUAGGUUUUUGAGCUCCACGAAGGCCGAGAUGCUUCAAAAGAACGAGAUGGAGAUAAGAUGUCCGUGUCGAAGAUGCAAGCUGAGGAGCCUUAUGGACCCGGAUUCCAUACUAGUGCGGGACCACCUGCUCUUGUGUGGUUUCAUGGAUGGCUACUGGUGCCAAGGUGAUGAAGAUGAUUAUGAAGUCAUCCAUGGGGGCCGGGGAAGAAAUGAGGAAGGGCAUCAAGACAACCGCGGCGAGGGCGGGCGAGAAGACGAAGAAUCUCCAGGACAUGAUCACGAAGUAGAUGCAGUACACAGUUAUCAUGUAGAAGAUGCCAGACAUGAUGACGAGGAAGAUGCUGGAGCAGACGAAGGGCAUGAUCAUGAAGAUGAAGAUGCCGGAGCAGACGACGAUGGACCAUCGAUGGGCUGGGUGCAGGACCCUCAUAUUCAAGAGCUGCUUCUCGAGCAGACGGAUAACGCAAGAGCUGCCGCCCGAGAGAAAGCCAAGCUGGAUCAACUGGAGAUAGACGCGGUUACUCCAUUGUAUGAAGGAUGCAGGCCCGAGGAUACCCGCCUGAAAGUAACACUCAUGGCUUUGGAGAUGAAGGUAAAACACAAAAUGACCGACGCAUGCUUCGAUGAGAACAUGUUAUUCUGGCACGAUCGUCUUACCAAGGGGAACAAGUGCCCGACCAGUUUCGAGGAGGCGAAGAAAAUCGUGUGUCCUCUGGAUGAAAUACCAUGUGUGCAUGAGCAAUUGCAUCAUUUAUUGGGACGAGCACGCGGAGUCUACCAUAUGUCCGGUGUGCGGCGUCUCUCGAUACAAGAAGAGGAAUAA
rnacentral:rRNA from 1 species